AGUGAACGCUGGCGGUAGGCCUAACACAUGCAAGUCGAACGGCAGCACAGUAAGAGCUUGCUCUUACGGGUGGCGAGUGGCGGACGGGUGAGGAAUACAUCGGAUUCUACUUUUUCGUGGGGGAUAACGUAGGGAAACUUACGCUAAUACCGCAUACGACCUACGGGUGAAAGCAGGGGAUCUUCGGACCUUGCGCGAUUGUAUGAGCCGAUGUCGGAUUAGCUAGUUGGCUGGGUAAAGGCCCACCAAGGCGACGAUCCGUAGCUGGUCUGAGAGGAUGAUCAGCCACACUGGAACUGAGACACGGUCCAGACUCCUACGGGAGGCAGCAGUGGGGAAUAUUGGGCAAUGGGCGAAAGCCUGAUCCAGCCAUGCCGCGUGGGUGAAGAAGGCCUUCGGAUUGUAAAGCCCUUUUGUUGGGAAAGAAAAGCAGCAGGUUUAUACAUGGCUGUUCUGACGGUACCUAAAGAAUAAGCACCGGCUAACUUCGUG
rnacentral:rRNA from 1 species